AGAGAGAGAGAGAGAGAGAGAGAGAGAGAGAUAGGAGCGACAGAAUGGAAAGCACGGAUGACAAGACGGUUGCAGGCACACGACUGCUCUGCCGACUGUAGCGUUGCUCGUGCGCACGUGACAUGCGUGGGUGUGGCGGGUCACUGGUGGGGCAAGUGUCAGGGUGAUUGGGUGUGGUUUCUACCCAUACCACCCUGCUUCCGGUACCGAUUGGAGGAAACUUUUACCGCCUCCAAUAUGGCGUACAAGCUGGACACCGUAUUCGACGGGGGUUGCUUACAACCACCCUGACGACUCUUCUUACCCUCGUUGGCACCCCUCGAAGAACGGUGGAUAAAAACAAAGGACUACAAAUUUUGGCGACGGCGAUAUAAACGCGGACACACGUUCCCGAGAAAGUUUCUCUUCGUAUUCAUCGACGUUUUUCCUCGGGUGGCUUGUAUUUGUUCGUUAAUAUCCAUUCAUCUUCCGAACCACGCCUAGAAUACCUAUGUAUUCAUCGGAAUCGUCGCGUAAAAGAAUUCUCGAGCUUUCCCUUAGGAACUCCUUUGGUAUAAGAGACUGUCGGUGAUUCGGGAAGGAACGGAGAAUAUCGGAGGAAGGCGAAACGGUGGUAUCGGUGGGUGCUUGUGGUGGUGAGCUGACUCGACGAAGGGGAUUGUGGAGAGUACAAAAAGAACUGAGCGAAAUUAAGAACGACCAUGCUGCUGCUUCUGCUUCUCCUACUACUGGCGAAUGCACACACCGUCUCAUCUUGGAUAUCCACGAUCACGCAGCAGAUAUCCAAGGCGUUUCUAGAUCUCUUUUCCCUUUACUGGCUCACCUUUAUUUCGUCCUUCUCUUUUUGCUUGAGAAAAAGUUCUAACUCCACCGCUAAAAUAUGGAUUUUUUCCGAAUGUAUAUCUU